rnacentral:rRNA from 1 species
UACAGAGGGUGCCAGCGUUAAUCGGAAUUACUGGGCGUAAAGGGCGGGUAGGCGGUGAUGUAAGUUGGAUGUGAAAUCCCUGGGCUUAACCUAGGAACUGCAUCCAAGACUGUGUUACUCUAGUGCGGUAGAGGGUAGUGGAAUUUCCGGUGUAGCGGUGAAAUGCGUAGAUAUCGGAAGGAACACCAGUGGCGAAGGCGGCUACCUGGACUGACACUGACGCUGAGGCGCGAGAGCGUGGGGAGCAAACAGG